GCCUGGCUGGCUCAGUUGGAAGAGCAUGGAACUCUUGAUCCCAGGGCCAUGCGUUCGAACCCCACGUUAGGUG
rnacentral:tRNA from 1 species